rnacentral:miRNA from 1 species
UGGCUUGGCCAAAAAGUUCGUUCAGGCUUUUCUGGAACAUGGAAAAACUCGAACAAACUUUUUGGCCAAACCCA